rnacentral:rRNA from 1 species
UACAGAGGUCUCAAGCGUUGUUCGGAUUCAUUGGGCGUAAAGGGUGCGUAGGUGGCAUGGUAAGUCGGAUGUGAAAUCCCGGGGCUCAACCCCGGAACUGCAUUCGAUACUGCCAGGCUAGAGUACUGGAGAGGAGAUUGGAAUUUACGGUGUAGCAGUGAAAUGCGUAGAUAUCGUAAGGAAGACCGGUGGCGAAGGCGGAUCUCUGGACAGUUACUGACACUGAGGCACGAAGGCCAGGGGAGCAAACGGG